UACGUAGGGUGCAAGCGUUAAUCGGAAUUACUGGGCGUAAAGCGUGCGCAGGCGGUUGUGCAAGACAGAUGUGAAAUCCCCGGGCUUAACCCUGGGAAUUGCAUUUGUGACUGCACGGCUAGAGUGUGUCAGAGGGGGGGUAGAAUUCCACGUGUAGCAGUGAAAUGCGUAGAUAUGUGGAGGAAUACCGAUGGCGAAGGCAGCCCCCUGGGAUAACACUGACGCUCAUGCACGAAAGCGUGGGGAGCAAACAGG
rnacentral:rRNA from 1 species